CCUGUUCAGGAAACAUAAUUAUUUUUUAAUUAUUUUCUGUGCAUUAGCAAUAACAUGAUGGCCAUUUUUCUUCCGAAACAACCAAUGCACUGAUAGUGAGCCUUUUGGUUGAUAGGAGAUGAAAAAAUGAUACAUGCUAAUGUUUCUCUUCUGGUUUUACAGACCCAACUUGGAAGAUCAAACCUCCAUGUGGUUCUCUUGGCUCUCUCUCUCUCUCAUGCAUUUGUGUGUCUAGUCUCAUAUGCACAACCACAUGCACAUAUAUUUCUCUAGUUUCAGUUUGGCUUUCGUCUAAAAAAGUAUGUUGCAGCAGCUUUAUAUUGCUUAAUACGGGCACAUCCUCCUUGUAAAAUCUAAAUCAGAAGAAGUAGCAGAGCUCAACGUCUUGGGCUUCCCAUGGCUUCAUUAUACAGCCUGUUGCUUAUAAACAGAAAAAGGUAAAGGUGCAAAUCAGGGAGAUAUUCAAUGCAGGAAUUGCCCAAAACAGGUGAUGGCAUCGCACAAUGGUUUAGAUAUGUAUUUGUUACAAAGUUUUCUUCUCUGCAGCAUGGUUGCCGACCAGAUCUCUCUGUUGCAUAGCCUUGAAUUUGACCGUUACCUUCGCCUCCAGGAACCGCCUCCAUUCAAGAAGAAUGAUCUUUGCGUGUGAUUUCUCAAUAAUCUCCACGAGUCGCUUUUUUGAUUUCUUGACUGAAGAGGCUGGGCCCGUGGGAUUCUGGAUUAGCAGUGCACACUCGCAUUGUUGGAUCACUGCCUCAAAGCCUGAAGAAACGUUGUCGCCCUCGGCGAGUUCAAAGAGCAAAAUGGCAUGUAAGGGCACGAAGGAGAUGGCCUUCGGGGACAGCGCAAGCGCCUGGCGUGAUGACUCGAGGGAUUUGUUAAGGUGUUCGAGCCUCACCGUGGCAGAGUCGCGGAUUUGCAACCCGAUUUUGUAGUGGAUAAGGCUUCAGGCGUGGUGGUGGCCUUCGGGGACAGCGCAAGCGCCUGGCGUGAUGACUCGAGGGAUUUGUUAAGGUGUUUGAGCCUCGCCGUGGUAGAGUCGCUGAUUUGCAACCCGAUUUUGUAGUGGAUAAGGCUUCGGGCGUGGUGGAGAAGCGUGGAGCCUAAGUGGCGGGAAAUGGCAGCCUCCGCUAAUUCUGCGGCUUUGAUGUAGUCCCCAAUGCCGAGAGACCAGAGGUCGCAAUUGCAUUCUUGGAGGAUGAACGUGAAUGAAGAAGAAUUGGACAGCGUCGGAUGGGUGGAGGGCGGAGGUGGUGAAGCAGAGGAGGAUUUGUUGUGGUUCAUUUUCUAAGAUUUUAUCUCUUUGUAUUAAUAACCGUUCAUCUACGCAUACCUCUUCAGCUUUUGGUGGUGUUUGGUAAAUGGGUUGGCCUAGACACUGUAGUUGAUGUAGAUUGAUGUGAAAAAAAAAAAGUAAGAAUGUUUUAUAUAAAAAAGUAAAA